GGAAAAGAAACUAACAAGGAUUCCCCUAGUAACGGCGAGUGAAGCGGGAAGAGCUCAAAUUUGAAAUCUGGUAGCCUUCGGUUGCCCGAGUUGUAAUCUAGAGAAGUGUUUUCCGUGCCGGCCCAUGUACAAGUCCCUUGGAACAGGGCGUCAUAGAGGGUGAGAAUCCCGUCCUUGACAUGGACCCCCGGUGCUUUGUGAUACACUUUCAACGAGUCGAGUUGUUUGGGAAUGCAGCUCAAAAUGGGUGGUGAAUUCCAUCUAAAGCUAAAUAUUGGCGAGAGACCGAUAGCGAACAAGUACCGUGAGGGAAAGAUGAAAAGCACUUUGGAAAGAGAGUUAAACAGUACGUGAAAUUGUUGAAAGGGAAACGAUUGAAGUCAGUCAUGCUCUUGGGACUUACCUCCCUUGAGUGGGGUCAACAUCAGUUUUGAUCGAUGGAUAAAGGCACGGGGAAGGUAGCACUCUCGGGUGAACUUAUAGCCUCGCGUCAUAUACAUUGAUUGGGACUGAGGAACGCAGCAUGCCUUAUGGCCGGGAUUCGUCCACGUACAUGCUUAGGAUGUUGACAUAAUGGCUUUAAACGACC
rnacentral:rRNA from 1 species